AUGGGGGACGAAACUUUGCUGGAGCGUAUACUCAAUGGAGACGAGGAACCAAAGGAUCUGCCAUUAGGGCUGUUGCAAAGUAUCACGAAUGAUUUCUCUGAAGAGAGAAAAAUUGGUCAGGGUGGAUUUGGAGCGGUUUACAAGGGUGUACUCCGAAAUGGAAUUAUUGUUGCUGUGAAGAGGAUUUAUGUGACUGCACACACAAUUGAUGACAAGCUAUUUCGCCGUGAGUUUAAUAGCCUGAGGAAGAUUAAUCAUCAAAAUGUAGUCCGCUUUCUUGGCUUCUGUUCUAAUACGUAUCAGACACCGAUACAAGAGGCUGGGUCAGAAGAAAUUAACUUGGCCAAUGUAAGAGAAAGAUUGCUCUGUUUCGAGUACAUCAGCAAUGGAAGUCUUGAUAAACAUAUUACUGAUGAAUUAAGGGGACUUGAAUGGGAAACACGUUAUGAAAUAAUCAUUGGAAUUUGCAAGGGUCUGCGCUAUCUUCAUGAGGAAACCAGUAUUGUUCAUAUGGACCUUAAGCCAGAAAAUAUAUUACUAGAUGGCACAUAUUUGAUUCCAAAAUUCACAGAUUUUGGUUUGUCAAGACCAAAUAAAAACACGCAUACUAUGGGCCUACGUUUUGGAACACGAGGAUAUAUUGCACCGGAAUACGAGAAUUCUGGCAAAGCUUCAGUUAAAUCUGACAUAUAUAGUUUGGGUGCCAUAAUCUUCGAAUUAGUAACAGGUUGUAUGGGCAUCCCCGAUGAAAACAAUGUACUUCGGAGGUGGAGGCACAGGUGGACUAAGCCACCGACGUUACUACAAUACCAGCAAGUAACUAGAUGCUUGAACAUAGCAGUACGCUGCAGGGAACAAAAUCCAGAAGCCAGACCUUCCAUAUUGAAGAUAAUUAGCUUUCUGAGUGAAUCUGGAAGUACAGAUAUGCACACUAGCCAGAUAAGACCUUGUUACAUUGAAGAUGACAUGCUGGGGAUUAAGCCCCUCGAGCUACUUGUUCCUUUUGAGCUUAAGAAGAUAUCAUGCUUCACAAUUGAGCUAAUCAACGAUACACAUAGUUGCAUUGCCUUCAACAUCAAACCAUCAAACCCACCAUGGUACAGAGCACAGCCAGACAAAGGCAUUGUGCGACAACAAUGCAAGUAUGGUGUGAAGAUAACAGUGCCACCACAAGAUAUGCACCAUGCUGACAAGUUUAUCGUGAAGAGCAUGAAAGUGAGCGAGGGUCUCACAGAUGAGGAUAUCAUAGAACACACGUUCGAAGAGGCUGGUAAAAUUGCUGAUGAGGUGAAUUUGAUGGUUGUAUAUGAGCCUCACGAAAACUCCAAGAGUAGAGAAGAGACCAACAAGCCAGUUGAGGAAGUCCCCAAGGUGGAAAGGAGAAAGAUUGAUGUAUCUGCUUCCGGAAAGAGCAAACUUGGUAACGGUGGAAAUGCAGAGGCAGCUUCCAUGGCUAUCAAAUCAAGGGUGCAAGGACAAUGUAUCAAGCAAAGAGAGCAGCGUCGUUUCUACCCACGGCAAAGCUCCUCACACCAUUCUCUGGGUUACAUGCUGAUCCCGCUGCUGGACAGAGUAGCGGUCAAGGCUGGUGACGCGCAGGUGGCCAAGCUGCUGCGGGCGUGCGGUCUGGGCAAGGCUCGCCAGAAGCUAGAGUGCCACCUCGCGGACAUCCAAUGUAUCCUGCUGGACGCCGACACCAAGAGCCGAACCAAUGCUGCUGUCCACUCGUGGAUGGAGGACCUCAAGACUGUCGCCUACCAAACUGACGACAUCCUCGACGACUUCCGCUACGAGGCAUUGCGCCGCCAUGCUGCCAAGAUCGGCCACGUUUCCACCGCACACAAGGUGCUGAGCUACACCACUUCCAAUAACCCGGUUAUUCUCCGUCACUCCAUGAGCAAGAAGAUGAAGGAUACAGUUGACAUGAUAGAUGAACUGGUCGAGAAGAUGAAUAGUUUUCACUUCCGACAGCAUACCGAGGCUCCACGCAUUGAUCAUCUGCAAACACACUCUCAAGUCGAUAAAUCACAGAUUGUGGGCAGACAAGAUGAGAAGGAACAACUGGUGAAGAUAUUGCUUGGCCACUGCUACAACAAAAAUAACAGCAACCAUGUCAUGGUGCUCCCCAUAAUUGGUAUGGGGGGAAUUGGUAAGACCACCCUUGCCCAACUUGUGCACAAUGACCAGAGGGUGAAGCAUCAUUUCGAGUUGGUCUUAUGGGCAUGUAUCUCCGAAAAGUUCGUUAUUGAGGAAAUUGUCCGAUCUGUAAUAGAAGUGGCCACGAUGAAGAAGUGUGAUUUGACUCAGAUGGAGGCACUGCAGAAGGAACUUUGUGGAGUUUUGGGCAAGAAAAGGUAUCUCCUAGUGUUGGACGAUGUUUGGAAUGAAGACGGACAUAAGUGGGAUGCUAUGAGAUCAUUACUAAACUCACAUGCUGGCUCAGGUAGUGCUAUAAUUGUGACAAGCCGCAGCGAUCAAGUUGCGUCUAUCAUGGGCACGCUUCCUCCACAUCACAUAUCACUUCUAAAUGAGGAUCAAUCAUGGGAGCUUUUUCACAGAAAUGCAUUUGGGAGGGAAGCGGAAAAGCAAGAUGAAUUGAUUACAGUCGCAAAGAAAAUUGUCCACAAGUGUAAGGGAUUGCCUCUUGCUAUUAAGACUAUAGCAGCUUUACUUCGUUCGAAGCAUCACAGUCAGUGGUUUUCUGUUUUGGAUAGCGAUGUCUGGAAAGAUGACAUCCUCACAUCUGCUAUUGUACCUGCACUACAACUGAGCUAUGAUCACUUGUCAUCCGAAGCAAAAAUAUGUUUCUCCUUCUGUGCUCUUUUCCCCAAGGAUAGCCCGAUGGAUAAAGACACGCUAAUCCAGUUAUGGAUAGCCAAUGACUUUAUUGCAUCAGAAACAAGAGGCCAAGAAAUUUUUGAUAUACUAGUUUGGAGAUGUUUCCUUCAAGAUGUGGAGAAUCAACACUACACUAAGAUCGGUGAUUAUGAGCAUAUCCACAGAUCAAUUAUUUGCAGGAUGCAUGAUCUCAUGCAUGACCUUGCUGAAUCCGUAAGUGGAAAUGAUUGCUUCAUUCUGCAAGAAUCUUCAUCAUGUCAAGAAAUUCUGCACGGACCCACUAACAUCGGUUCAUUACAGCAUGAGGUUCAGUAUUUAUCACUUGAUCAUGUGAGUAACAAUACUCUUGCAGCAAUGAAGGAAAUGCUAGCUCCCCGAGCCCGCACAAUAUUAUGUGUCCAAAGGGAGUUGCAGUGGACCCAAGCAUCUCUGGAUAAGGGCAAGUCUUUGAUUAUGGCAUUGUCAAAAUUCAUGUCAUUGCGAGCAUUGAGGACACUCUCAUUCGAGACACAAAUGGCAAACUUGAAGCAUCUUCGCUAUCUAGAUCUCUCAUAUUCUGGUAUAGCUACACUGCCAGGAUCCACUACCAUGUUGUAUAACCUGCAAACGUUGAAGCUCAUUGGUUGUGAAGAUCUUAAGAAAUUACCAGAGGGCAUGAGGUAUAUGAGCAGUCUUCGACACAUAUUUCUUGCUGGGUGUCCUAAUUUGGACUGCAUGCCACAAGGUGUUGGUCAGCUUAAUUCUCUGCAGACAUUGACGAAUUAUAUCAUUGAUAGUGAUGCAGGCCGUGGAAUUGAUCAACUGAAAGAUUUGAAUCUAGGUGGUAGUCUUUCUUUGACACAGCUGAGAAAAGUGCAUAGUGCAGAAAAUGCUAAACAAGGCAAUAUAUCCGCUAAGCAUAAUUUGAAAAGAAUCUCACUGAGUUGGUAUGGACUCUGUAGUAGAGCUGGAUAUGAAGUAGAUACUAAUGCAGAAGGAAUACUAGAGGCCCUUUGUCCUCACAAUGGUCUUGAAGUUUUACAGUUGUCUAAUUAUAGUGGUGCUAAAUUGUCAUCAUGGAUGCACAAGUCUACACUGUUAGAACAUCUGAGAGAGCUUCAUUUGCGUAGCUGCAGGAAGUGCAAGGAUCUUCCACCAUUAUGGCAGCUGCCCUCCCUCUGGUACUUGAAUUUGGAUAAUUUGGAUAGUGUGACAAGUAUGUGUGUUGGUAAUGAUGAUACAGACAAUGGGGAGUCCUGCAUUCCUCCAUCACCCAUCUUUCCUAAACUGCGAGUCAUGAUUGUUUACAAGAUGCCUAAGCUAGAGAGAUGGCACCAGGUGGCAAGACAAGUAUCGGCUGUAUCAUUCCCUCGGCUCAAAGUGCUACAUAUUUCUGGAUGCCCAAGUUUAGAGACACUGCCGGAGGGACUCCUGCAGCAGGUCUCAGCCCUCACGGAACUAGAUAUGAGAUAUUGCGACAAGCUGAAGGGAGCCUUCUCAAGAGGUGGUGCUUACUGGAAAUUGGUUGAAGCAAUUCCCAUGAGAACUGUUUUUUGA
rnacentral:rRNA from 1 species